GCGCAUAUAGCUCAGCCAGGCAGAGCGCCGGAGUGAUCCGGAGGUCGCGGGUUCGACUCCCGUUAUGUGCUCCA
rnacentral:tRNA from 1 species